rnacentral:rRNA from 1 species
GAUGAACGCUGGCGGCGUGCCUAACACAUGCAAGUCGAACGAAGCAUUUGAUUGGAAGUUUUCGGAUGGAAGAUGAGAUGACUGAGUGGCGGACGGGUGAGUAACGCGUGGGUAACCUGCCCCAUACAGGGGGAUAACAGUUAGAAAUGACGGCUAAUACCGCAUAAGCGCACGAGGAUGCGUGUUCUUGUGUGAAAAACUGCGGUGGUAUGGGAGGGACCCGCGUCUGAUUAGCUAGUUGGCAGGGUAAAGGCCUACCAAGGCGACGAUCAGUAGCCGGCCUGAGAGGGUGGACGGCCACAUUGGGACUGAGACACGGCCCAAACUCCUACGGGAGGCAGCAGUGGGGAAUAUUGCACAAUGGGGGAAACCCUGAUGCAGCGACGCCGCGUGAGCGAAGAAGUAUUUCGGUAUGUAAAGCUCUAUCAGCAGGGAAGAAAAUGACGGUACCUGACUAAGAAGCUCCGGCUAAAUACGUGCCAGCAGCCGCCGUAACAC